rnacentral:misc_RNA from 1 species
GAUGAAGAACGCAGUGAAAUGCGAUAAUUAAUGUGAAUUGCAGAAUUCAGUGAAUCAUCGAGUCUUUGAACGCACAUUGCCCCCCCUGGUAUUCCGGGGGGCAUGCCUGUCCGAGCGUCAUUGCUGCCCUCAAGCACGGCUUGUGUGUUGGGCUUCCGUCCCUGGCAACGGGGACGGGCCCAAAAGGCAGUGGCGGCACCAUGUCUGGUCCUCGAGCGUAUGGGGCUUUGUCACCCGCUCCCGUAGGUCCAGCUGGCAGCUAGCCUCGCAACCAAUCUUUUUAACCAGGUUGACCUCGGAUCAGGUAGGGAUACCCGCUGAACUUAAGCAUAUCAAUAAGCGGAGGA